rnacentral:rRNA from 1 species
UACGGAGGAUGCAAGCGUUAUCCGGAAUGAUUGGGCGUAAAGCGUCCGCAGGUGGCAAUGUAAGUCUGCUGUCAAAGUGUCUGGCUCAACCAGAUAAAGGCAGUGGAAACUACAUAGCUAGAGUAAGGUAGGGGUAGAGGGAAUUCCUGGUGUAGCGGUGAAAUGCGUAGAGAUCAGGAAGAACACCGGUGGCGAAAGCGCUCUGCUGGACCUUAACUGACACUGAGGGACGAAAGCUAGGGGAGCAAACAGG